rnacentral:tRNA from 1 species
AACUUUAUAUUCAAAUAUGAUUUUAAAUUGCAAAUUUAAAGGUGGGUUAAUCCUAAAGUUU